rnacentral:pre_miRNA from 1 species
AGUGGAAUAACUGGGUCAAAAGGUGAUUACAUCCCACAUUUUCUGAGGAAUCAACAUACUGCUUUCCAUAAUGGUUGCACCAAUUUGCAGUCCCACUAGCAGU